CAAAAGCUUGGUCCUGACUUUACUGUCAGCUUUGGUUAAAUUUAUACAUGCAAGUAUCCGCACUCCUGUGAGAAUGCCCUACAUAUUUCUUUUUCCUGAAAAAAAGGAGCAGGUAUUAGGCACGACCCUACGUCUGCCCAUGACACCUUGCUUAGCCACACCCCCAUGGGAAUUCAGCAGUAAUAAACAUUAAGCAAUAAGUGUAAACUUGACUUAGUUAAGACCAAAAGGGCCGGUAAAACUCGUGCCAGCCACCGCGGUUAUACGAGAGGCCCAAGUUGACAAAUACCGGCGUAAAAUGUGGUUAGUUUAUCUAUUGAACUAAAGUCAAACACCCUCAAAACUGUUAUACGCACUUGAAGGCAGGAAGCCCUCCCACGAAAGUGACUUUAAAGACUACUACCCCACGAAAGCUAGGGAACAAACUGGGAUUAGAUACCCCACUAUGCCUAGCCUUAAACACAAGUGAUUAUCCACACACCCCUUACUUGCCAGGGAACUACGAGCCCCAGCUUAAAACCCAAAGGACUUGGCGGUGCUUUAGACCCACCUAGAGGAGCCUGUUCUAAAACCGAUAACCCCCGUUCAACCUCACCCUCUCUUGUUUAUCCCGCCUAUAUACCGCCGUCGUCAGCUUACCCUGUGAGGGACAAACAGUAAGCAUAAUUGGCUUAGCCUAAAACGUCAGGUCGAGGUGUAGCGCACGAGAGGGGAAGAAAUGGGCUACACUCACUGACCCAGUGAACACGAAUAAUUCCUUGAAACAGGAAUUUGAAGGAGGAUUUAGCAGUAAGCGGGGAGUAGAGUGCCCCCCUGAAACUGGCCCUGAAGCGCGCACACACCGCCCGUCACUCUCCCCGAAACAAACAACAAAUAAAUAAACAAAAAAUAAAAACAAGGGGAGGCAAGUCGUAACAUGGUAAGUGUACCGGAAGGUGCACUUGGAAAAAU
rnacentral:ncRNA from 1 species